CCCAUCCCCAUCCCCAUCCCUUGGCCUUCACAGCAAAGGCAAGGAAUCAGUGGGUCUCCUUCUCACUGGGGCUCUCUCUGGGAUCAACAGGAAGUGACAACCAGUCUCCUAAGGCUUUGUGGGUGGGGAGGGGAGGGUGCAUCUCUCUGUGGGAAACCGAGCACCCAUUCUAAAUUCACAAUACUAAGUGUCACUUCUGGAGCACUUGCUCGGUGCCAGGCCCUGUUCUAAGCAUGGUACAUAUAUUAACCCCCUUAAUUCUCACAGUGACCCGGUGAGGUAGGUGUUACUAACUCUCACUUGCAGAUGAACAGACCAAGGCACAGAAAGACGGAGGAACUUGCCAGAGGGCUCGCAGUUGAUAACUGUGCAUGCUAUCUGUGGACUGGGGGCACCAGCCUGGCAUUUUCCUGCGAUCCCAGAAGACAGUCCGUGGUGGCUGAGCCCAGGCAGGAGCAGGAAGGGAGCUGUUCUGUGACCACACCCCACGACCGACCCACGUGGCCACUUCCCGCUCUGCAUAUCCAGGCAGAGAAUCCAUCAGGGCGGAUCUAAAUGUUAAUAAAAAUGAAAUCCCUGAGCAGUCACCGAAAUUAGCCUGGGUAUGAUUGAAAUGCCAAGGCAGGUCUUGUUAUUUUUAUGAAGCUGUGAAUAAUAUAAGUAUCCAAUUGAUAAAAUGUUAUUAAAGCUGACAGCCC
rnacentral:lncRNA from 1 species